CAACUUCACAGUUAAGUUCAGUGCCUGCUGUCUUCACGCCUGUCGGGCGCCAGACUUACACAGGUUGAGCAAAAUAAAGCCAAAACAUGCAGCAGCAAGUUCAUUGGUCUUACACAGCCUGCCCAGCUGAACACCCAUAUAAGCCAGCAACAAGGGCUGAAUGAGUCUGACACUUUAAUAAUAUCCUUUGUGCCCUGCCCUGGAUCCUGGCAAGCCGCAAGGGUGGGCAGGGGGACCAGGUUAGGGAUGCGUACUCCAUCACAGGCCUGACCUGAGCCCGAUAGAGGGACACUAUCCCCCAACCAUCGAGGAUCUUCCUGGGACAUCUGACACAGCUUAGCUUCCAGACUGCAUCCCUGGUGAUCUUCCUUACAUGAGAGAUGAAGGUUGCAAGAAACAAGUGCAGGUUGCAAGAAACAAGUGAAAGACCUGCCACCCUGCAGUGAGCAAACAUCAUGAGUCCAUGUUAGGAGAGUGCUCAACAGAAUCUACCAGAGGAGUUUCACCACCCCCAGCACCACCAUUUGUCAUAAAACUACAGCCAGCCUUCAGAGCUAGUGCUGGCACUAAAAUGGGGGACCAGCUUCCCUGCUCAGUGCUGAAUAGGAUUAGAAAAGUAACUAGUUCCCUAUGGUCCAAAGAAAAGACUAGAAAUUUUUAAGUGGCUGCUAUAUAUAUAAACUGCAAAAAAUCAAUGAAUGAAAGUUUUUAAAUUGUAUAUAAAUUC